rnacentral:sRNA from 1 species
AGGAACAUGGCGGCGGCGGACCUCGCUCACAUUCCUGAUGUGGACAUCGACUCCGACGGCGUUUUCAAGUAUGUGCUGAUCCGAGUCCACUCGGCUUCCCGCUCCGGGGCUCCGGCUGCAGAGAGCAAGGAGAUCGUGCGCGGCUACAAGUGGGCUGAGUAUCACGCGGACAUCUACGACAAAGUGUCGGGCGACAUGCAGAAGCAGGGCUGUGACUGUGAGUGUCUGGGCGGCGGGCGCAUCUCCCACCAGAGUCAGGACAAGAAGAUUCACGUGUACGGCUACUCCAUGCAGAUGAGACCCACGUGCGUCCCUCUGGGCGCCUCAGGCCCCAGGAUCCACCAUCAAGGCCUAUGGUCCUGCCCAACACGCCAUUUCAACUGAGAAAAUCAAAGCCAAGUACCCCGACUACGAGGUCACCUGGGCUAAUGACGGCUACUGAGUACUCCCAGCCCGGGGCGUGCUGCCUCCGGCCGCCACUUCAAAGCCCCCGCCUUUGCCUGUGCUCCUCCUGCGGGGCUGGCCCUGCCUGCUCCUGCGGCAGCCCCUGGUGACGUGCUGUCCACCAGGCCUUGGAGACAGGCUAGCCUGACCACAGAAUUAAACGUGUUGCCACACC